rnacentral:rRNA from 1 species
GACGAACGCUGGCGGCGUGCUUAACACAUGCAAGUCGAACGGAAAGGCCCUGCUUUUGUGGGGUGCUCGAGUGGCGAACGGGUGCGUAACACGUGAGUAACCUGCCCUUGACUUUGGUAUAACUUCAGGAAACUGGGCCUACUACCGGAUAGGAGCUCCUGCUGCAUGGUGGGGGUUGGAAAUUUUCGGCGGUUGGGGAUGGAUUCGCGGCUUAUCAGCUUGUUGGUGGGGUAGUGGCUUACCAAGGCUUUGACGGGUAGCCGGCCUGAGAGGGUGACCGGCCACAUUGGGACUGAGAUACGGCGCAGACUCCUACGGGAGGCAGCAGUGGGGAAUAUUGCACAAUGGGCGGAAGCCUGAUGCAGAAACGCCGCGUGCGGGAUGACGGCCUGCGGGUUGUAAACCGCUUUCGCCUGUGACGAAGCGUGAGUGACGGUAAUGGGUAAAGAAGCACCGGCUAACUACGUG